UACGAAGGGGGCUAGCGUUGCUCGGAAUCACUGGGCGUAAAGGGCGCGUAGGCGGCUUAUCAAGUCAGGCGUGAAAUUCCCGGGCUCAACCUGGGGGCUGCGCUUGAUACUGAUUGGCUUGAAUGCGGGAGAGGAUAGUGGAAUUCCCAGUGUAGAGGUGAAAUUCGUAGAUAUUGGGAAGAACACCGGUGGCGAAGGCGGCUAUCUGGCCCGUAAUUGACGCUGAGGCGCGAAAGCGUGGGGAGCAAACAGG
rnacentral:rRNA from 1 species